rnacentral:rRNA from 1 species
CCUACGUGAGGCAGCAGUGAGGAAUAUUGGUCAAUGGGCGCGAGCCUGAACCAGCCAAGUCGCGUGAGGGAAGACGGUCCUAUGGAUUGUACCCCUCUUUUGUCGGGGAGCAAAAGACGCCACGCGUGGCCUUCCGAGAGUACCCGAAGAAAAAGCAUCGGCUAACUCGGUGCCAGAAGCCGCGGUACUACGGAGGAUGCGAGCGUUAUCCGGAUUUAUUGGGUUUAAAGGGUGCGUAGGUGAGCUUUUAAGUCAGAGGUAAAAAUUCGGGGCUAAACCCCGUCCGGCCGUUGACACGUGGGGCGUUGAGUGGGCGAGAAGAAGGCGGAAUGCGUGGUGUAGCGGUGAAAUGCAUAGAUAUCACGAAGAACACCGAUUGCGAAGGCAGCAUACCGGCGCCCAACUGACGCUGAGGCACGAAAGUGCGGGGAUCGAACAGGAUUAGAUACCCGAGUAGUC